GCCAGAGAAAUAUCUCCCUCCAAUUCUCACCUGGUUUCCCACUGAUGCUAAGCAGGGUUGAGCCUGGCAAGUACCUGGAUGGGAGACCUCCUUGGGAAAAAUAAGAUUGUUGCUGGAA
rnacentral:rRNA from 1 species